CCAGUGCUCUGAAUGUCAAAGUGAAGAAACUCAAUGAAGCACGGGUAGCCGUCGGGAGUAACUGACUCUCUUAAGAUGGGAUCAUAGUUACUAGCUGGGC
rnacentral:ncRNA from 1 species